ensembl:lncRNA
CUGAAGGUUAAAGAAUGACAGUGCUUAGCAGUCUGCUCUGAAAAAUACUGUAAUCUUUGAUCCAGCAUUCAGCAUUCAGCUAUAGUGUUGAAGCCAAUGUGAGGACCCCUGUAUAUGCUGAGCUCUACGGAAAAUUAAGCAAAAUAGAGAGGUACAGCAUUUAGAAAUGCUAGCAGUGGGGUAAAGAAAAGAUCAUGGGAUUUGGGAUUGCACAGAGUCCAGUGGUGCACUGAUUUUGCUGAUUAAACUGAUAAAUAAUGAACUCAAAAUGUUUUAGGCAGCUGUUAGUGUCAGAGAUCAGAUUAAUCUUCAGCAUGAAAGAGAGAAGAUAUUCAAGUUUACAGCACUCCGGAGCAGUGAUAUCCCUGUAGAAGACAUGAAAAACUCUUCUCUAUGGCUCCUGGAUGCUUACAUAACGUUCAAUUAUGCAUAAUAUCAACACUCGUGUUUCAAGACUUUUGGGAAGACUAAUAACAAGGAAAAGAGGGGGAAGAGGGCAGGGAGGGAAGAAAGAAGAGAUUUCCCAUAGAAAUAAAUUGAUUGCAUUGUACUGAGCAUUGGAGGUGGAUCCUACACAUGAUCCUUUUCCCAGCUCCUCUGAUGGCUCCAUGUGCAUUUUUCAGAUUGCCAUUUGACUUUUUUUUGUCUUUUAUUAUCCUGACUGUAAAAGAGUAAAGGAAUUACUUGUUCAUACAAGCCGGAUGAUAGUUAUCUAAGUUUUAGUCACAUGAACAGAAUUACACUAUUUUAUUAUCAGUUGAUUGAGCUUUCAAAGCUGAGUAGUAGUUUCAGUGGUGUUAUUCAAAGUAUUUUAUAAUAACAGUCUAUAAUAAUCUAUUAGACAAGUAUUAGUCACAUGUAAGCACUAUUUCGGAAUUUUCAUUUACUUUGUACCUUAUUAAGAAUGAAUCAAUAUCUUUUUGGGGCUGCUUUGUCUGUUCACCUGUUGAGUAAAAUCAAAUAUCACUUGUGUAAAUAAGACUUCAAAGCAGAUUUUCAGGUAAAAGAAACUGCUUUUAGGAAUCAUGAGCAAUUUAACCAAGAACUCUGAAGCAUGAGAAUAUUACAAGAAGAUACCGAAAACAGAAAUAUAAGUGCAAUUCACAUAUACUGUAAUUAUGGAGCUUUUUUGCUGUGUUUGUUUUGAAUCAUGUGGAUGAGAGAUGAAUAGGAAUUUUGCCACUUUCUAUCUGUUUAAAUCUUGCCCAAAUCAGUGCCUGGGAUCUUGAAGCUCACUUGCUUGUAGAAAAUUAGAACAAUUAUUCAGAAAAUUAAAGUUGAACUUUGAAUGAGGAAAACUUCAACACAGAGAUGAAGUAUGACAUUAUUAAGCUUACUAGUGAAAUUCAUUGAAAUACUCUUCAACAGAUUUGGGGAUUUUUUGUUUGUUUUUGUUUUUUGUUUUUACUUCUUUACAUUAUAUAAAAAUAAAUUUGUUUAACACUCAGCCUUUUCUAAUUCCAGUCUUUUAAUGUUAGUCAGGUUAGGAGGAUAACGUAUAAUAUUCUGUACUUCUACUGUCCAUAUUGUACUUUAAGAAGCUUAACAUUUGUUUCCUAUAAGCACCUUUUCCAUGUUAAUUUUCAGUUUCAAAUUCACUAAUGAAAAUGCACAAAUUUAUAUAAUUUCUGACUCAGAAAUGUCUAUAUUCUCCUUUAUACUCACUAACGUUAAUAACUAUGAGACAUGCAUGCAUGAGAAAAAGAAAAAAAAGAAGGCUGGAAGGCACUUUUUCUAUUAGAUAUCACUGUGACACAUGAAACAGAUGAAAAGUUGAAUUGAUUAGAGGAUACAUAAAUGUUUUUAAAUAUGAUUUUGUAAAUAAAGUAGUAUUUUAAUUUUGUAAAAAUUAUCAUUGAACUCCUAUUGAACUUUUAUCUGAAUAGUUCUAUACCUCUUUGAAAAUCUCUUUGAAACUUUGUGUGGUGCAUCUCAGAUCUAAAAUUCUACCUUCCUUUCAUGACUAUCUGUACAUCAAAGGGAAGGAGAAAUGGUAUCAUCAUUUUAUUCUGCUACUAUGAAGGACAAAAAUUUGUCUGAUGGUAGAACAGUAGGAAGAAAAGUGACAGUGACACCUCAGGUUGAAAAAGGGAAAGCUACAAGAAAGUGUAUUCAUGGUUUCAGCUUUGACUCCACUGUGACAUAAUUGCCAUGAAUAUCUUUCAUAACAUACACUAGAGAAAAGGUAUUAAAGCGGUAUACAAAGACCUGUGUAGAAAUGGAAUUUGCAGAUUCUCUUAACUUCAUCAAACAAAAUCAAUUUCCAUGGGACAUUUCAAAGGCACUUCUCAAUGAAGGUCAACUUUCUGCUUUCUUUUCUGUUUUGGCACAUAAUUCAUUUAAAACCUGGAAUGAGAAGAAAGCAAAACUCAAUAGCAUGUACUUACAGGAUUUCAUCUUCUAUAACUAUAAGUAAUUUUAAGCAAGAAAUACAGAAGCUGAGAUCAUUGUUAGAAAACACUAAAAAUAAAGAAAUUAAUAAAGUAAAAGAAAAAAUAGAAAGGCUUUGGAAUUCUGUGUCUGUCAGAUGAGUUCUAUGAAUGGAACUUGAAAAAUACAUAGAGUAUUUAUAUGAUGUAGUGAUAUUCAGUAUAUUUUUACUCUUUUUUUUUUUUUUUUUAAAUAUGAUGUCUACCUUUCCUGACCCAAAAGGUGGUGGGAUUUAAAAUUUUGGUAAAAUUACUGAAGUUCUAAUAAAAAAUUACUCAACUCUGCUCAUGUUUAAUUUCAGACUUGCAAUAUCUUUGCUGUUUACACAAUUUUUACUCUUGCCAACAUGAAGUCAAUACGAUCUUGUUAAAGUGGCGUGUCAAUGGUUUGUGGGCUGGUUUGGCCUGGUUCCAUGACUAGCGGGGUGGAGGGACCUGCGGAUCCACGCCCCGGAAAGGACUUAGGUAAAAAAGGGAAAAAAGGGUAGAGAGAUGGGCCUAAAAAAAAAAAAAAAAGCAAAACAGUGGCAAUGAUGAGAAACUGAUGAGAAACAAACUAUUUUACUAAGUCAGAUAUCAGAAUGCAAGAUAACACUCUAUAAUACAAUAUAAUUAGAAUUGGAACUAAUAAAUCAAAUAUAAUGAGAGAGAGUGUCCAAAAGCCGAAGACCUUACUACAUUGCUGUGACAAGAUGGCACCCGCGACAGAGAUGGUUGGGAAAAAAAAGGAUGUCAGGUGACCUACCAAGGCCUUUUAUCUGUUCCCCCUGAGCAGAAAUGAUAACAUAACAGUGAACACUCCUCCGAGGAAUGUAGUAGUUCUUCUCUUCCGGGACAGGUACCUGGACCUGGAGCAUUAACUCUUUAAUUCCCGGUGCACUACAUGAUGCUAUAAUGUGGAAUACUGAUAACCAAAAAUCUUAAAACCAUGACAUGGCAAUAAGCUGAAAAAUAAUACCAACUGUAUUAAUGGAAACACUACAACUUAUUUUUCUUUUCAAGGCUUGUUUUCAAAAUUUUAGAAUUCUUUACAUGGAUUUGUAUUUGCUUGUGUUGGACAUGGUGUGAUGGGACUUCAGCAUUUAUCACCAGCUACUGAUAAGCAUGUUCUGAAUUUUGGCAAAUUCCUCUAAACCUAGAUACUUUGGCAUUUUGCAUCAAUUGUAUUCUUCAUUUUGAAAGGUAUCUGUGAUAGUCAUGCAACUGUUACUCAGUUUGCUUACCCCACACGGAUUGUAUAGCUAAUAUUCAAACAACUUCUUAACUUGCAUUUGACUUGCAUGGUAUGUAAGAGCAUCUUUUUUGAGCAGAUUGGCUUGUAUUUGUAGGUAGCACUUUGACACAAUAUUUUUGAAU